rnacentral:lncRNA from 1 species
CCGCUUUGUGAUACUGGAGCUGGACCUGGUCCUGCAGUGCGUGGUGGCCAGCAGGGCCCGAAGGUCAGCAAAGUCCCUCAGCACUCCGUCAGGAGCCUUCGUAGUGGAGUACCCCAGUGAGACACCUCCCAGAAACACUUUUCCGGGGUACCUGGGAGGAAAGAUUUCCAGCAAGUUCUGCUGGUGGGGCACCAGAGCAGUUUCUCUGCCAUUGACUGGCCGGGGAGAUGACCUCACUUACAGGGUCCAGAUCUCAGCUCUGGGUAGGGGGUAUGUGUGGUUUCCUUGGGCAUUCUGAGCCCCAGGGGUCCUCAUUGCUCCUUAUACCUGCAGUUUCCUAUAUCUUUUAGAGUUCUCUUUACUUUUCACUAGCCAUUCCCUCGUUACUCCCAUCCCGUGUUAUAGUUAAUAAUUCUUUAUAUGGAAGGUCGCCUGUUAUGCAUCACUGUGUGGCUUCUCUCUCCCGAUGGGCCCGGAGCGAGGCCCGUGCGAGAGGGAGGGCCCUUCCCUGCGUCCGGCGCCUUUCAGCACAGCGUCCAGUGACUCCUGCCUGUGGCCCUACCAGGAGCUUCCCAACAGGUCUUGCCAACACUCCAGGUGGGUCCCCAGCGAGCCUCUCCUGCCCCAGCAGGGCCUUUCUAGCCGCUUUGCUGGCAUCCCAGCAAGCAGUCCCUGCGUGCCGGCCCUGGCCUAUGGCCCUCAGGGAUCUCCCUCCCUUUCCAGUAAGCCUCCGUCCGCCACACUUGGCAUUGACGAGAGAAUCUCAGCAUGGUGAGAGGAGGGAGACCCCUGCCCAAGCGUGUUCCUGCCUGGAUGUGCUCCCUCGGCCACUUCCUCCUUCGGCCACUCCUGUAUUCCUUAGCAUUUUCUCUACCCCUCUUAGGAGUGAAUCCCCCCUUACUAAUUAAUAAUUCUGCGUAUUAAACUGUCUCUGUUCAAGUUACUGGUGUGCUUUCUAUCUCCUGCCUGGACCCUGAGUGAUAUAUUUAUUAUGAAACAUUGUAGCAGGCUGGGUUUGUCUGCAGAUAACAGAAAGGACUUAACACAGAGAAUCAGGUGCUCACCAAGAGCUGGAGGAGUACCCUCUAG